rnacentral:tRNA from 1 species
GGACCCGUGGUGUAGCGGUUAACAUACCUCCCUGUCACGGAGGUGAUCGCCGGUUCGAAUCCGGUCGGGUCCGCCA